UCUGCCCCUAGAGGUGUUUCGGGUGUGACAAGGGUGUCAGUAGGUGGCAGGGAGGAGAGAGGAUACACGCCAUGUUCUGACUCGGGAAUGUCUGAAAUGUUUCCCUGAAAAU
rnacentral:snoRNA from 1 species